rnacentral:rRNA from 1 species
GAUGAACGCUAGCGGCAGGCUUAACACAUGCAAGUCGAGGAGAGCUUCGGGUUCGACCGGCGUACGGGUGCGUAACGGCGUAUACAAUCUUGCCUUUCACAUAGGGAUAGCCCGAAGAAAUUUGGAUUAAUACCUAAUAGUAUAUAGAUGUGGCAUCACCUUUAUAUUAAAGCUGAGGCGGUGAAAGAUGAGUAUGCGUUCUAUUAGCUAGUUGGAGAGGUAACGGCUCCCCAAGGCGACGAUAGAUAGGGGUUCUGAGAGGGAUAUCCCCCACACUGGUACUGAGAUACGGACCAGACUCCUACGGGAGGCAGCAGUGAGGAAUAUUGGACAAUGGUCGGAAGACUGAUCCAGCCAUGCCGCGUGCAGGAAGACGGCCUUAUGGGUUGUAAACUGCUUUUGCAGGGGAAGAAUAAGGACUACGCGUAGUUUGAUGACGGUACUCUGCGAAUAAGC